CCUUCGAUAGCUCAGUUGGUAGAGCGGAGAACUGUAGAUCCUUAGGUCGCUGGUUCGAAUCCGGCUCGAAGGA
rnacentral:tRNA from 1 species